CCAAUGAGAAUAAAGGUUAUAGGUAUGAUGAAUGACCACAGAAAUGGACUUUUUAUAAAAUCAUUGCUUUCUGGAAUUGCCAGCCAGCAGCUGUUGGAGAAGAGAGAAAUUAUUUCAACAGACCAAGAAAGAGGUAAAACACCAUUAUUAUACAUGCCAAAGGACUUCUAAAUUGUUUUAUGCAUUGGAAUGUUAUCAUUUGAAUGAUCAAAAUCAUAUUUCCAGUCUGAAUGAUGUAGGAGGAAACUGAGAAGGUCUUCAUCUCUGUAAUGAAUUUAAAAAAUAAAAAGGCAUGCCUGCUUUCAACAGAA